rnacentral:rRNA from 1 species
AUUGAACGCUGGCGGCAGGCCUAACACAUGCAAGUCGAACGAGCGGCGGACGGGUGAGUAAUGUAUGGGAAUCUGCCUGAUGGAGGGGGAUAACUACUGGAAACGGUAGCUAAUACCGCAUACCAUCGGAUGUCCCCAGAUGGGAUUAGCUAGUAGGUGGGGUAACGGCUCACCUAGGGUACGAUCCCUAGCUGGUCUGAGAGGAUGACAAGCCACACUGGAACUGAGACACGGUCCAGACUCCUACGGGAGGCAGCAGUGGGGAAUAUUGCGCAAUGGGGGCAAGCCUGACGCAGCCAUGCCGCGUGUAUGAAGAAGGCCUUCGGGUUGUAAAGUACUUUCAGCAGGGAGGCGUUACCUGCAGAAGAAGCACCGGCUAACUCCGUGCCAGCAGCCGCGGUAAUUC